CAUCCUUCCUUUAAUUUUUUUGAGGUUUUUGUAAAGUUUUGUGUUCCUUGAUCGGGCUAUACUUACAAUAUUAAGUACUCUUUAAAUUUUAAUUGAAUAUCUAGUUGAAGAUGGAAUUUUAGUGCUUGCGCUAUUUGUUGUACCAUAAAAAAAUCAAAAAUAUUGAAUCGUUUCUUUGGUUUGAUAUUUUUAAACCGUAUUUAUAAUCUCCAUUUUUUAUAAUUCACACUAUUGACUGGCCAGUUGGUUGCUAAAACCAGUUGUAACCUAGUGUAACCCUUACAAAGGUUAUUGGCUAGAUCAACCUUGCGUAGGUUCUGCGCUGUGCAACAAUGAAUCACUCUUCCAAGGAUCUAAGGGAGGUUAACCAAUAAAAUUCGAAAGGUUCACAUAUUCAUUUAUUGACCUUAUUAAAUCAAUUAAAUACACAUUAUCGCCAUUCAAAAUACUGAAUAAAGGAAAAUUGAAAUUUAUUAACAAAAAAAAA
rnacentral:lncRNA from 1 species